CUUGAUAUCUAUAAGAGGUCCAGCCUGCCCAGUGACGAAGUUCAACGGCCGCGGUAUCCUAACCGUGCGAAGGUAGCGUAAUCACUUGUUCUUUAAAUGAGGACUAGUAUGAAUGGCACCACGAGGGUUAUACUGUCUCCUUUUUCUAAUCAAUGAAACUAAUCUCCCCGUGAAGAAGCGGGGAUAAACUUAUAAGACGAGAAGACCCUAUGGAGCUUUAAACAACAAUAGCACUAGCCCUCAUCUUUAUACUUGAGAGAUACAACUAUUAUAUUGGCUAACAUGACUAUUAGUUUUAGGUUGGGGUGACCGCGGAGCAAAAACUAACCUCCACAUUGAACGGAGCUUUCCUGAGCUAAAAGCUACAACUUUAAGCACCAAUAAAUUGACAUCAAUUGACCCAACACGUUGAGCAACGAAC
rnacentral:rRNA from 1 species